rnacentral:lncRNA from 1 species
AAUUAUUCUUGGUGGGGAAGGCAGGCAGGAGAGCAGGAGCCAAUCAGUGAUGAAGAGGCUGGCUGAAGAACUGUCCAAUCAGGCGGGCCAAGGUAGGCGGUCUCUUCCGGUGUCAUGGCGUCAAUUGCAAGGCCAGGGCACAAAAGGGAGCAGUAAAUGUUUGCUAGACCACUAUUUUUUGCUUCUAUUCACUGUGGACUGCUUAGAAAGAACCUGGGAGACCUCCAAACUACGCAAUGGAUACGAAUAUAGAUGAACAUUGCAUGGAUCAGAGGAGCGUGGAAAGGAUGGGCAAGUGACUGACAGAAUGCAGGAAGCCAAUAGCAGGACAUGCAACAGAGAGGUUCUUCUCUGAAAUUCAGGUAGUUCUUAGAGUAAGUGUGAAGUUAAAGUUGGGUUCUGAUUGCUUCCUUGAUGUGAUCAACACCAGCUCUAGCAAAAAUCAGUGUUUCACAUCCUUGUCAACCCAUGCAUUUUCUAUUCCACACUUGAGAUCUAAUUUUGAUUAUCUCUAAUUAUGCCCCAGGGUUAUGAAGGUAAAAUGUGGAUUUUUUUUAUACCAAG